AAAAUUCUACCUUUACGCUUAAAGCAAGGUAGAGAAAGGAGUAGAUAUCAAAUGUUAAAACCACAAUGUCCUUGAAAGUAAAUCAAAUUAUUCUGAUACGAAACUAAAGAAAUGAGGAAUAGAAAACACAAGAUCAAGCUUUAAAAAAAAAAACAAAGAAAUCAAAGAAUUGAAAAUUAAUUUUCUGCUACACACAUGCGGUCAACAAAUAACACUCAAACAUAAAAGACAAGAAUCAAGAACAAUGCGAAGUGGAAGAGAAUAGUGGAUACGAAGGAAACUUACCUGACAAGGAUAUCCAAAUAAGCUUCUCUUCUCCUCGGGACACUUGAAAAUUCUACCCCUACGCUUAUAGAAAGUAGAGAAAAGAGUAGAGAUCAAAUGUAAAAACGAGAGUAAGAAAAUUAACUCUCAAGAGACAAUAUCGUUGAAAUUAAAUUAAAUUAUGUUGAUACGAAACUAAAAAAAUGAGGAAUAGAUAACGCAACAUCAAGAUAAAAAAAAAAAACAAAGAAAUUAACGGAUUCAAAAAUAAUUUUCUAAUACACACAUACAGUAGACGUAUAACACAAAACUAUAAAAGGUAACAAUGAAAAACAAUGCAAAAUGUGAGAGAAUAGGGAAUACGGAGGAAACUUAUCCAAUAACCAAUUCCCAAUAAACUUUUGUUCACCACGGGAAACCUUAAAAUUCUACCCUUACGCUUAAAGCAAGGUAGAGAAAUGAGUAGAUAUCAAAUGUUAAAACCACAAUGUCCUUGAAAGUAAAUCAAAUUAUUCUGAUACGAAACUAAAGAAAUGAGGAAUAGAAAACACAAGAUCAAGCUUUGAAAAAAAAAACAAAGAAAUCAAAGGAUUGAAAAUUAAUUUUCUGCUACACACAUGCGGUCAACAAAUAACACUCAAACAUAAAAGAGAAGAAUGAAAAAUAAUGCGAAAUGGAGGAAAAUAGGGGAUAAGGAGGAAACUUACCUGACAAGUAUUUCCCCAUAAACAUCUUUUUUCCUCGAGAAACCUAAAAAUUCUACCCUUACGCUUAUAGAAGGUAGCGAAAGGAGUAGAGAUCAAAUGUAAAAAUGAGAAUAAGAAAAUUAACUCUUAAGGCUCAAUAUUGUUAAAAGGAAAUCAAAUUCUGCUGACACGAAACUAAAGAAAUGAGGAAUAGACAACGCAACAUCAAGAUAAAAAACAAACAAAGAAAUUAAUGGAUUCAAAAUUAAUUUUCUAGAACACACGUAUAGUAGACAUAUAACACGAAAACAUAAAAGAUAAAUAAGAAGAACAACGCAAAAUUUGAGAGAAUAGGGAAUAUGGAGAAAACUUAUUGAAGAACUAAUUCCCAAUAAACUUCUCUUGACCAGGGGAAACCUGAAAAUUCUACCCUUACGCUUAAAGCAAGGUAGAGAAAGGAGUAGAGAUCAAAUUUUAAAACCACAAUGUACUUGAAAGUAAAUAAAAUUAUUUUGAUAAGAAACUAAAGAAAUGAGAAAUAGAAAACACAACAUAGAGCAAUAAAAAAAAACAAUGAAAUCAAAGGAUUGAAAAUUCAUUAUCCACUAGAUACACGCAGUGAACAAAUAACACUCAAACAUAAAAAAAAAAAGAAUGAAGAACAAUGCGAAAUGGUGGAGAAUAGGGGAUACAGAGAAAACUUACCUGACAAAUAUUUCCAAACAAACCACUCUUUUCCUCGGGAAACCUAAAAAAUUCUACACUUAUGCUUAUAGAAUGUAGCGAAAUGAGUAGAUAUCAAAAGUAAAAACGAGAAUAAGAAAAUUAAUUCUUAAGGCGCAAUAUCGUUGAAAGGAAAUCAAAUUAUGCAAAUACAAAACUAAAGAAAUGAGGAAUAGACAACGCAAGAUCAAGAUAAAAAACAACCAAAGAAAUUAACGGAUUCAAAAUUAAUUUUCUAGUACACAGAUACAGUAGACAUAUAACAUGAAAACAUACAAGAUAAAUAUGAAGAACAUUGCAAAAUUUGAGAGAAUAGGGAAUACGGAGGAAACUUAUCCAAGAACUAAUUCUCAAUAAACUUUCCUUCACAACGGGAAACCUGAAAAUUCUACCCUUUCGCUUAAAGCAAGGUACAGAAAGGAUUAGAGAUCAAAUGUUAAAACCACAAUGUCCUUGAAAGUAAAUAAAAUUAUUUUGAUAAGAAACUAAAGAAAUGAGCAAUAGAAAACACAACAUAGAGCUCUAAAAAAAACAAUGAAAUCAAAGGAUUGAAAAUUCAUUCUCUACUACAUACACGUAGUCAACAAAUAACACUCAAACAAAAUAGAGACGAAUGAAGAACAAUGCGAAAUGGAGGAGAAUAGGUGAUACAAACAAACUACUCUUUUCCUCGGGAAACCUGAAAAUUCUACUUUCACGCUUACCUGACAAGUAUGUGUGUACUAGAAAAUUAAUUUUGAAUCCGUUAAUUUCUUUGUUUGUUUUUUAUCUUGACCUUGCAUUGUUUAUUCCUCAUUUCUUUAGUUUUGUAUCUACAUAAUUUGAUUUGCUUUCAACGAUAUUGUGCCUUAAGAGUUCAUUUUCUUAUUCUCGUUUUUACUUUUGAUCUGUACUCCUUUCGCUACAUUCGAUAAGCGUAAGGGUAAAAUUUUCAGGUUUCUCGAGGAAAAGAGAAGUUUGUUUGGAAAUACUUGUCAGGUAAGUUUUCUCUGUAUCCCCUAUUCUCCUCCAUUUCGCAUUGUUCUUCAUUCUUCUCUUUUAUGUUUAAGUGUUAUUUGUUGAAUUCGUGUAUGUAGUAGAGAAUGAAUUUUUAACCUUUUGAUUUCAUUGGGUUUUUUUUUUAUAGCUCUAUGUUGUGUUUUCUAUUACUCAUUUCUUGACUUCCUUAUCAAAGUAAUUUUAUUUACUUUCAAGUACAUUGUGCUUUGAAAAUUUGAUCUCUACUCCUUUCUCUACCUUGCUUUAAGCGUAAGCGUAGAAUUUUUCAGGCUUCCCGUGGUCAAGAGAGUUUUAAUGGGAAUUAAUUAUUCAAUAAGUUUCCUCCAUAUUCCCUAUUCUCUCAAAUUUUGCACUGUUCUUCAUAUUAAUCUUUUAUGUUUUCGGGUUAUAUGCCUACUGUAUGUGUGUACUAGAAAAUUAAUUUUGAAUCCACUUAUUUCUUUGCUUGUUUUUUAUCUUGAUGUUGCGUUGUCUAUUCCUCAUUUCUUUAGUUUUGUAGCUGCAUAAUUUGAUUUGCUUUCAACGAUAUUGUGCCUUAAGAGUUCAUUUUCUUAUUCUCGUUUUUACAUUUGCCAGGUAAGUUUUCUUUGUAUCCCCUAUUCUCGUUCAUUUCGCAUUGUUCUUCAUUCUUCUCUAUUAUGUUUUAGUGUUAUUUUUUUAAAUUCGUGUAUGUAGCAGAGAAUGAAUUUUCAAUCUUUUGAUUUCAUUGUUUUUUUUUAUAGCUCUAUGUUGUGUUUUCUAUUACUCAUUUCUUUACUUUUUUAUCAAAAUAAUUUUAUUUUCUUUGAAGUACAUUGUGGUUUUACAAUUUGAUUUCUACUCCUUUCUCUACCUUGCUUUAAGAGUAAGGGUAGAAUUUUCAAGUUUCCCGUGGUCAAGAGAAGUUUAUUAGGAAUUAGCUAUUCAAUAAGUUUCCUCUAUAUUCCCUAUUCCCUCAAAUUUUGCACGGUUCUUCGUAUUUAUCUUUUAUGUUUUCAUGUUAUAUGCCUACUGUAUGUGUGUAUUAGUAAAUUAAUUUUCAAUCCGUUAAUUUCUUUGCUUGUUUUUUUAUCUUGAUGUUGCGUUGUCCAUUCCUCAUUUCCUUAGUUUCGUAUAUGCAUAAUUUGAUUUCCUUUCAACGAUAUUGUGCCUUAAGUUUUAUAUUUCUUAGUCUCGUUUUUACAUUUGAUUUCUACUCCUUUCGCUACCUUUUAUAAGCGUAAGAGCAAAAUUUUCAGGUUUCCCAAGGAAAAGAGAAGCUUAUUUGGAAAUACUAGUCAUGUAAGUUUCCUCCGUAUCCCUUAUUCUCUUCUAUUUCGCAUUGUUCUUUAUUCUUCUCUUUUAUGUUUGAGUGUUAUUUGUUGACCGCAUGUAUGUAGUAGAGAAUUAAUUUUCAAUCCUUUGAUUUCUUUGUUUGUUUUUAAAAGCUUGAUGUUUUGUUUUCUAUUGCUCAUAUCUUUAGUUUCGUAUUCGAAUAAUUUUAUUUACUCUCAAGGACAUUGUGGUUUUAACAUUUGAUCUCUUCUCCUUUCUCUACCUUGCUUUAAGCAUAAGGGUAGAAUUUUCAAGCUUCCCGUGGUCAAGAGAAGUUUAUUGGGAAUUAGUUAUUCGAUAAGUUUCCUCCAUAUUCCCUAUUCUCUCAAAUUUUGCACUGUUCUUCAUAUUAAUCUUUUAUGUUUUCAUGUUAUAUGCCUACUGUAUGUGUGUAUUAGAAAAUUAAUUUUCAAUCCGUUAAUUUCUUUGCUUGUUUUUUUAUCUUGAUGUUGCGUUGUCUAUUCCUCAUUUUUAUAGUUUCGUAUAUGCAUAAUUUGAUUUCCUUUCAACGAUAUUGUGCCUUAAGUUUUAUAUUUCUUAGUCUCGUUUUUACAUUUGAUUUUCACUCCUUUCGCUACCUUCUAUAAGCGUAAAGGUAGAAUUUUCAGGUUUCCCGAGGAAAAAAGAAGCUUAUUUGGAAAUACUUGUCAGGUAAGUUUCCUCCAUAUCCCCUAUUCUUUUCCAUUUCGCAUUGUUCUUUAUUCUUCUCUUUUAUGUUUGAUUGUUAUUUGUUGACCGCAUGUAUGUAGUAGAGAAUUAAUUUUCAAUCCUUUGAUUUCUUUGUUUGUUUUUAAAAGCUUGAUGUUGUGUUUUCUAUUGCUCAUAUCUUUAGUUUCGUAUUCGAAUAAUUUUUCUACUCUCAAGGACAUUGUGGUUUUAACAUUUGAUCUCUACUCCUUUCUCUACCUUGCUUUAAGCAUAAGGGUAGAAUUUUUCAGGUUUCCAAUGGUAAAGAGAAGUUUAUUGGGAAUUAGUUCUUGGAUAAGUUUCCUCCGUAUUCCCUAUUCUCUCAAAUUUUGCACUGUNNNNNNNNNNNNNNNNNNNNNNNNNNNNNNNNNNNNNNNNNNNNNNNNNNNNNNNNNNNNNNNNNNNNNNNNNNNNNNNNNNNNNNNNNNNNNNNNNNNNGUAUUUCCACACUAUACUUCUCAUUUCCUCUGGAAUCUGUAUAUUUCUACUUUCGCGCUUACCAGACUAAGUACGUGUGUCAUCGAAAAUUAAUUCUGAAUCCGUUAAUUUCUUUGUUUGUUUUUUAUCUCGAUCUUACGUUGUCUAUUCCUCAUUUCUUUAGUUUAUACCUGCAUAAUUUGAUUUUCUUUCAAUGAUAUUGCGCCUUGAGAGUUAAUUUUCUUAUUCUCAAUUUUACAUUUGAUCUCUACUCCUUUCGCUACAUUCUAUAAGCGUAAGGGUAGAAUUUUCAAGUUUCCCGAGGAAAAGAGAAGUUUGUUUGAAAAUACUUGUCAGGUAAGUUUUCUCCGCAUCCCCUAUUCUCCUCCAUUUUGCAUUGUUCUUCAUUCUUCUCUUUUAUAUUUGAGUGUUAUUUGUUCACUGCCUGUAUGUUGUACAGAAUGAAUUUUCAAUCCUUUGAUUUCAUUGCUUUUUUUUAGAGCUCUAUGUUGUGUUUUCUAUUAUUCAUUUCUUUAGUUUUGUAUCAAAAUAAUUUUAUUUACUCUCAAGGACAUUGUGGUUUUAACAUUUGAUCUCUUCUCAUUUCUCUAUCUUGCUUUAAGCGUAAGGGUAGAAUUUUCAGGUUUCCCGUGGUCAUGAGAAGUUUAUUUCGAGUUAGUUCUUCAGUAAGUUUCCUCUAUAUUCCCUAUUCUCUCAAAAAUUUUGCACUGUUUCUCCUAUUUAUCUUUUCGUGUUAUAUGUCUACUGUAUGUGUGUACUAGAAAAUUAAUUCUGAAUCCGUUAAUUUCUUUGUCUAUUUUUUUUCUUGAUGUUGCGUUUUCUAUUCCUCAUUUCUUUAGUUUCGUAUAUGCAUAAUUUGAUUUCCUUUCAAGGAUAUUGCGCAAUAGUUAAUUUUCUUAUUCUCGUUUUUACAUUUGAUCUCUACUCCUUUCGCUACAUUCUCUAAGCGUAAGGGUAGAAUUUAAAGGUUUCCCAAGGAAAAGAGAAGUGUUUUUGGAAAUACUUGUCAGGUAAGUUUUCUCCGUAUCCCUUAUUCCCCACCACUUCGCAUUGUUCUUCAUUCUUCUCUUUUAUGUUUGAGUGUUAUUUGUUCACUGCGUGUAUCUAGUAGAGAAUUAAUUUUCAAUCCUUUGAUUUCAAUUUUUUUUUUUUUAUACCUCUAUGUUGUGUUUUCUAUUACUCAUUUCUUUAGUUUCGUAUCAAAAUAAUUUUAGUUACUUUCAAGUACAUUGUGGUUUUAAAAUUUGAUCUCUACUCCUUUCUCUACCUUGCUUUAAGCGUAAGGGUAGAAUUUUCAGGUUUCCCCUGGUCAAGAGAAGUUUAUAAGGAAUUAGUUCUUCGAUAAGUUUCCUCCAUAUUCACUAUUCUCUCAAAUUUUGCUUUGUUCUUCUUAUUUCUCUUUUAUGUUUUCGUGUUAUAUGUCUACUGUAUGUGCGUACUAUAUAAUUAAUUUUAUAUCCGUUAAUUUCAUUGUUUGUUUUUUAUCUUGAUGUUGUGUUGUCUAUUCCUCAUUUCUUUAAUUUGGUAUCCAUAUAAUUUUAUUUCCUUUCUACAAUAUUGUGCCAUAAGAGUUAAUUUUCUUAAUCUCGAUUUUACAUUUGAUCUCUACUCCUUUCGCUACCUUCUAUAAGCGUAAGGGUAGAAUUUUCAGGUUGCUCGAGGAAAAGAGAAGUUUAUGGGAAAAUACUUGUCAGGUAAGUUUCCUCCGUAUCCCCUAUUCUCCUCCAUUUGGAAUUGUUGUUCAUUAUUCUCUUUUAUGUUUGAGUGUUAUUUGUUGACCACAUGUAUGUAGUAGAUAAUUAAUUUUCAAUCCUUUGAUUACUUUGGCUUUUUUUAAAAGCUUGAUCUUGUGUUUUCUAUUCCUCAUUUCUUUAGUUUCUUAUCAAAAUAAUUUUAUUUACUUUCAAGGACAUUGUGGUUUUAACAUUUGAUCUCUACCCCUUUCUCUACUUUGCUCUAAGCACAAUGGUAGAAUUUUCAAGUUUUCGGUGGUGAAGAGAAGUUUAUUGGGAAUUAGUUCUCGGAUAAGUUUUCCCCAAAUUCCCUACUCUCUCAAAUAUUGUAUUGUUCUUCAUUUUUAUCUUGUAUGUUUUCAUGUUAUAUUUCUACUAUAUGUAUGUACUAGAUAAUUAAUUUUAUAUCCGUUAAUUUCUUUGUUUGUUUUUUAUCUUGAUGUUGCAUUCUGUAUUCCCCAUUUCUUUAGUUUCGUAUCCAUAUAAUUUUAUUUCCUUUCUACAAUAUUGUGCCAUAAGAGUUAAUUUUCUUAAUCUCGUUUUUAUAUUUAAUCUCUACUCCUUUCGCUACCUUCUAUAAGCGUACGGGUAGAACUUUCAGGUUUCCCUUUGAAAAUAGAAGUUUAUUUGAAAAUACUUGUCAUGUAAGUUUCCUCUGUAUCCCAUAUUCUCCUCCAUUUGGCAUUGUUGUUCAUUCUUCUCUUUUAUGUUAAAGUGCUAUUUGUUGACCGCAUGUAUGUAGUAGAGAAUUAAUUUUCACUCUUUUGAUUUUUUUUUUUUUUUAAGAGCUUGAUCUUGUGUUUUCUAUUCCUCAUUUCUUUAGUUUCGUAUCAGAAUAAUUUGAUUUACUUUAAAGGACAUUAUGGUUUUCACAUUUGAUCUGUACACCUUUCUCUACCUUUCCCAAUAAACUUCCCUUGACCUCAGGAAACCUGAAAAUUCUACCCUUAUGCUUAAAUCAAGGUAGAGAAAGGAGAAGAGAUCAAAUGUUAAAACCACAAUGUCCUAAAGAGUAAAUAAAAUUAUUCGGAUAUGAAACUAAAGAUAUGAGCAAUAGAAAACACAACAUCAAGCUUUUAAAAACAAACAAAUAUAUCAAAGGAUUGAAAAUAAACUCUCUACUACAUACAUGCGGUAAAAAAAUAACACUCAAACAUAAAAAGAGAAGAAUAGAGAACAAUGCGAAAUGGUAAAGAAUAAGGGAUACGGAGGAAACUUACCUGACAAGUAUUUCCAAAUGAGCUUCUCUUUUCCUCGAGACACUUGAAAAUUUUACUCUUAUGCUUAUAGAAAGUAGCGAAAGGAGUAGAGAUCAAAUGUAAAAACGAGAAUAAGAAAAUUAACUCUCAAGACACAAUAUCGUUGACAUGAAAUUAAAUUAUGCUGUUACGAAACUAAAAAAAUGAGAAUAGACAACGCAACAUCAGAAUAAAAAACAAACAAAGGAAUUAACAAAUUCAAAAAUAAUUUUCUAGUACACACAUACAGUAGACGCAUAAGAUGAAAACAUAAAAGAUAAAAAUGAAAAACAGUGCAAAAUUUGAGAGAAUAGGGAAUAGGGAGGAAACUUAUCAAAGAACCAAUUCCCAAUAAACUUCUAUUCACCACGGGAAACCUUAAAAUUCUACCCUUACGCUUAAAGCAAUGUAGAGAAAGGAGUAGAUAUCAAAUGUUAAAACCACAAUGUCCUUGGGAGUAAAUCAAAUUAUUUUGAUACAAAACUAAAAAAAUGAGGAAUAGAAAACACAACAUCAAGCUUUUAAAAAAAAAAACAAAGAAAUCAAAGGAUUGAAAAUUAAUUCUCUACUACACACAAGCGGUCAACAAAUAACACUCAAACAUAAAAGAGAAUAAUGAAGAACAAUGCAAAAUGGAGGAGAAUAGGGAAUACGGAGGAAACUUACCUGACAAGUAUUUCCCUAUAAACUUCUCUUUACCUCGAGAAACUUGAAAAUUCUACCCUUAUAUUUAUAGAAGGUAGCGAAAAGUGUAGACAUCAAAUGUAAAAAUGAUAAUAAGAAAAUUAACUCUUAAGGCUCAAUAUGGUUGAAAGGAAAUCAAAUUCUACUGAUACAAAACUAAAGAAAUGAGGAAUAGACAAUGCAACAUCAAGAUAAAAAACAAACAAAGAAAUUAAUGGAUUCAAUGUUAAUUUUCUAGAACACACAUAUAGUAGACAUAUAACACAAAAACAUAAAAGAUAAAUAAGAAGAACAACCAAGAUUUGAGAGAAUAGGGAAUAUGGAGAAAACUUACCGAAUAACUAAUUCCCAAUAAACUUCUCUUGACUAGGGGAAACCUGAAAAUUCUACCCUUACGCCUAAAACAAGGUAGAGAAAGGAGUAGAGAUCAAAUUUUAAAACCACAAUGUACUUGAAAGUAAAUAAAAAUUUUUUGAUAAGAAACUAAAGAAAUAAGAAAUAGAAAACACAACAUAGAGCUAUAAAAAAAAAACAAUGAAAUCAAAGGAUGGAAAAUUCAUUAUCUACUAAAUACACGCAGUGAACAAAUAACACUCAAACAUAAAAGAGAAAAAUACAUAACAAUGCAAAAUGGUGGAGAAUAGGAAAUACGAAGAAAACUUACUCGACAAGUAUUUCCAAAUACUCUUUUCCUUGGGAAACCUAAAAAAUUCUACCCUUACGCUUAUAGAAUGUAGCGAAAAGAGUAGAGAUCAAAAGUAAAAAUGAGAAUAAGAAAAUUAAUUCUUAAGGUGCAAUAUAGUUGAAAGGAAAUCAAAUUAUGCAAAUACAAAACUAAAGAAAAGAGGAAUAGACAACGCAAGAUCAAAAUUAAAAACAACCAAAGAAAUUAACGGAUUCAAAUUAAUUUUCUAGUACACACAUAUAGUAGACAUAUAACAUGAAAACAUACAAAAUAAAUAUGAAAAACAGUGCAAAAUUUGAGAGAAUAAGGAAUACGGAGGAACCUUAUUCAAGAACUAAUUCCCAAUAAACUUUCCUUCACCACGGGAAACCUGAAAAUUCUACCCUUACGCUUAAAGCAAGGUACAGAAAGGAUUAGAGAUCAAAUGUUAAAAUCACAAUGUCCUUGAAAGUAAAUAAAAUUAUUUUGAUAAGAAACUAAAGAAAUGAGUAAUAGAAAACACAAUAUAGAGCUCUAAAAAAACACAAUGAAAUCAAAGGAUUGAAAAUUAAUUCUCUACUACAUACACGUAGUCAACAAAUAACACUCAAACAAAACAGAGAAGAAUGAAGAACAAUGCGAAAUGGGGGAGAAUAGGGGAUACGAAGAAAACUUACUCGACAAGUAUUUCCAAACAAACUACUCUUUUCCUCGGGAUACCUUAAAAUUCUACUUUCACGCUUACCUGACAAGUAUGGGUGUACUAGAAAAUUAAUUUUGAAUCCGUUAAUUUCUUUGUUUAUUUUUUAUCUUGAUCUUGCGUUGUCUAUUCCUCAUUUCAUUAGUUUUGUAUCUACAUAAUUUGAUUUUCUUUCAACGAUAUUGUGCCUUAAGAGUUAAUUUUCUUAUUCUCGUUUUUACAUUUGAUCUCUACUCCUUCCGCUACAUUCUAUAAGCGUAAAGGUAGAAUUUUCAGGUUUCCCGAGGAAAAGAGAAGUUUGUUUGGAAAUACUUGUCAGGUAAGUUUUCUUCGUAUCCCCUAUUCUCCUCCAUUUCGCAUUGUUCUUCAUUCUUCUCUUUUUUGUUUGAGUGUUAUUUGUUGACUUCGUGUAUGUAGUAGACAACGAAUUUUCAAUCCUUUGAUUUCAUUGUUUUUUUUUAUAACUCUAUGUUAUGUUUUCUAUUACUCAUUUAUUUAGUUUCUUAUCAAAAUAAUUUUAUUUACUUUCAAGGACAUUGUGGUUUUAACAUUUGAUCUCUAAUCCUUUCUGUACCUUGCUUUAAGCGUAAAGGUAGAAUUUUCAGGUUUCCCGUGGUGAAGGAAAAGUUUAUUGGGAAUUAGUUCUUGGAUAAGGUUCCUCCGUAUUCCCUAUUCUCUCAAAUUUUGCACUGUUCUUCAUAUUUAUCUUGUAUGUUUUCAUGUUAUAUGUCUAUUGUAUGUAUGUACUAUAAAAUUAAUUUUGAAUCUGAUAAUGUCUUUGUUUAUUUUUUAUUUUUAUGGUGCGUUGUCUAUUCCUCAUUUCUUUAGUUUCGUAUCAACAUAAUUUGAUUUCCUUUCAACGAUAUUGUGCAUUAAGAGUUAAUUUUCUUAUUCUCGUUUUUACAUUUGAUCUCUACUCGUUUCGCUACAUUCUAUAAGCAUAAGGGUAGAAUUUUCAGGUUUCCCGAGGAAAGGAGAAGUUUUCAAUCCUUUGAUUUUAUUAUUUUCUUUUAGAGCUAUAUGUUGUGUUUUUCUAUUACUCAUUUCUUUAGUUUCUUAUCAAAAUAAUUUUAUUUACCUUCAAGGACAUUGUGGUUUUAACAUUUGAUCUCUACUCCUUUCGCUACAUUCUAUAAGCGUAAGGGUAGAAUUUUCAAGUUUCCCGAGGAAAAGAGAAGUUUGUUUGGAAAUACUUGUCAGGUAAGUUUUCUCCGUAUCCCCUAUUCUCCUUCAUUUCGCAUUGUUCUUCAUUCUUCUCUUUUAUGUUUGAGUGUUAUUUGUUGAAUUCGUGUAUGUAGUAGAGAAUGGAUUUUCAAUCUUUUGAUUUCAUUGUUUUUUUUUAGAGCUCUAUGUUGUGUUUUCUAUUAUUCAUUUCUUUAGUUUCAUAUCAAAUUAAUUUUAUUUACUCUCAAGGAUAUUGAUGUUUUAACAUUUAUUCUCUACACAUUUCUCAACUUGCUUUAAGCGUAAGGGUAGAAUUUUCAGGUUUCCCGUAGUGAAGAGAAGUUUAUUGGGAAUUAGUUAUUGGAUAAGUUUCCUCCGUAUUCCCUAUUCUCUCAAAUUUUGCGUUGUUCUUCAUUUUUAUCUUGUCAGUUUCCUCCGUAUCCUCUAUUCUCCUCCAUCUGGCAUUGUUAUUCAUUCUUCUCUUUUAUGUUUGAGUGUUAUUUGUUGACCGCGUGUAUGUAGUAGAGAAAUAAUUUUCAAUUCUUUGAUUUCGUUUUUUUUUUUUUUAAAAGCUUGAUGUUGUGUUCUCUAUUGCUCAUUUCUUUAGUUUCGUAUCCGAAUAAUUUUAUUUACUUUCAAGGACACUGUGGUUUUAACAUUUGAUCUUUUCUCCUUUCUCUACCUUGCUUUAAGCAUAAGGGUAGAAUUUUCAGGUUUCGCGUGGUCAAGAGAAGUUUAUUGGGAAUUAAUUCUUCGAUAAGUUUCCUCCCUAUUCCUUAUUCUCUCAAAUUUUGCAUUGUUUUUCAUAUUUAUCUUUUAUGUUUUCGUGUUAUAUGUCUACUGUAUGUGUGUACUAGAAAAUUAAUUUAUGAAUCCGUUAAUUUCUUUGUUUGUUUUUUAUCUUGAUCUUGCGUUGUGUAUUCCUCAUUUCAUUAGUUUCGUAUCUACAUAAUUUAAUUUCCUUUAACCGAUAUUGUGCCUUAAGAGUUAAUUUUCUUAUUCUCGUUUUUACAUUUGUAAUCUACUCAUUUCGCUACCUUCUAUAAGCGUAAGGGUAGAAUUUUUAGGUUUCCCCAGGAAAAGAAAUGUUUGUUUGGAAAUACUUGUCAGGUAAGUUUUCUCUGUAUCCACUAUUCUCCUCCAUUUUGUAAUGUUCUUCAUUCUUCUCUUUUAUGUUUGAUUGUUAUUUGUUGAUUGCGUGUAUAUAGUAGAUAAUGAAUUUUCAAUCCUUUGAUUUCAUUGUUUUUUUUUUUAGAGCUCUAUGUUGUGGUUUUUAUUACUCAUUUCUUUAGUUUCUUAUCAAAAUAAUUUUAUUUACUUUCAAGGACAAUGUGGUUUUAACAUUUGAUUUCUACUCUUUUCUCUACCUUGUUUUAAGCGUAAGAGUAAAAUUUUUAGGUUUUCCGUGGUGAAGAUAAGUUUAUUGGGAAUUAGUUCUUGGAUAAGUUUCCUCCGUAUUCCCUAUUCUCUCAAAUUUUGCACGGUUCUUCAUAUUUAUCUUGUAUGUUUUCGUAUUAUAUGUCUACUGUAUGUGUGUGCUAGAAAAUUAAUUUUGAUUCUGUUAACUUCUUUGUUUGUUUUUUAUCUUAAUUUUGCGUUGCUUAUUCCUCAUUUCUUUAGUUUCAUAUCUGCAUAGUUUGAUUUUCUUUCAACCAAAGCCUUAAGAGUUAAUUUUCUUAUUCUUGUUUUUACAUUUGAUCUCUACCCCUUUUGCUUCCUUCUAUAAGCGUAAAGGUAGAAUUUUUAGGUUUCCCAAAGAAAAGAGAAGUUUAUUGGAAAAUACUUGUCAGAUAAGUUUCCUCGAUAUACACUAUUCUCCUUCAUUACGCAUUGUAAUUCAUUCUGCUCUUUUAUGUUUGAGUGUUAUUUGUUGACUACAUGUAUGUAGUAGAGAAUGAAUUUUCAAUCUUUUGAUUUCAUUGUUUUUUUUUAGCUUUAUGUUGAGUUUUCUAUUACUCAUUUCUUAAGUUUCUUAUCAAAAUAAUUUUAUUUACUCUUAAGAAAAUUGUGGUUUUAACAUUUGAUCUCUACUCCUUUCUCGACCUUCCUUUAAGCGUAACGGUAGAAUUUUCAGGUUUCCCGUGGUGAGGAGAAGCUUUUUGGGAAUUAGUUCUUGUAUAAGUUUCCUCUGUAUUCCCCUAUUCUCUCAAAUUUUGCAUUGUUCUUCAUAGUUAUCUUGUAUGUUUUCGUGUUAUAUGUCCACUGUAUAUGUGUACUAGAAAAUUAAUUUUGAAUCCGUUAAUUUCUUUGUUUGUUUUUUAUCUUGAUCUUGCGUUGUCUAUUCCUCAUUUCUUUAGUUUCGUAUCAGCAUAAUUUAAUUUCCUUUCAACGAUAUUGUGUCUUGAGAGUUAAUUUUCUUAUUCUCGUUUUUACAUUUGAUCUCUACGCCUUUCGUUACUUUCUAUAAGCGUAAGGGUAGAAUUUUCAAGUGUCCCGAGGAAAUGAGAAGUUUAUUUGGAAAUACUUGUCAGGUAAGUUUCCUCUGUAUCCCUUAUUCUCUUCCAUUUCGCAUUGUUCUUUAUUAUUCUCUUUUAUGUUUGAGUGUUAUUUUUUAAUCGCAUGUAUGUAGUAGAGAAUAAAUUUUCAAUCCUUUGAUUUCUUUGUUUUCUUUUUAAAAGCUUGUUGUUGUGUUUUCUUCCUCAUUUCUUUAGUUUCGUAUCAGAAUAAUUUGAUUUACUUUCAAGGACAUUGUGCUUUUCACAUUUGAUCUAUACACCUUUCUUUAAGCAUAAGGGUAGAAUUUUCAGGUUUCCCGAGGUCAAGAGAAGUUUAUUGAGAAUUAGUUCUUCGAUAAGUUUCCUCCAUAUUCCCUAUUCUCUCAAAUUAUGCAUUGUUCUUCAUAUUUAUCUUUUAUGUUUUCGUGUUAUAUGUCUAUUGUAUGUAUGUACUAGAAAAUUAAUUUUGAAUCCGUUAAUUUCUUUAUUUGUUUUUUAUCUCGAUGUUGCGUUGUCUAUUCCUCAUUUUUUUAGUUUCGUAUCAGCAUAAUUUAAUUUCAUUUCAACGAUAUUGUGUCUUGAGAGUUAAUUUUCUUAUUCUCGUUUUUACAUUUAAUCUCUACUCCUUUCGCUACUUUCUAUAAGUGUAAGGGUAGAAUUUUCAAGUGUCCCGAGGAAAAGAGAAGUUUAUUUGGAAAUACUUGUCAGGUAAGUUUCCUCCGUAUUCCCUAUUCUCUUCCAUUUCGCAUUGUUCUUUAUUAUUCUCUUUUAUGUUUGAGUGUUAUUUGUUGACCACAUAUAUGUAGUAGAGAAUUAAUAUUCAAUCCUUUGAUUUCUUUGUUUUUUUUUUUAAAAGCUUGAUGUUGUGUUUUCUAUUCCUCAUUUCUUUAGUUUCGUAUCAGAAUAAUUUUGAUUUACUUUCAAGGACAUUGUGGUUUUCACAUUUGAUUUGCACUCCUUUCUCUACCUUUCUUUANNNNNNNNNNNNNNNNNNNNNNNNNNNNNNNNNNNNNNNNNNNNNNNNNNNNNNNNNNNNNNNNNNNNNNNNNNNNNNNNNNNNNNNNNNNNNNNNNNNNUGCAAAAUUUAAGAGAAUAGGGAAUACGGAGGAAACUUAUCCAAGAACUAAUUCCCCGUAAACUUCUCUUUACCACGGGAAACCUGAAAAUUCUACCCUUAUGCUUAAAGAAAGGUAAAGAAGGUGUACAGAUCAAAUGUGAAAACCACAAUGUCCUUGAAAGUAAAUCAAAUUAUUCUGAUACGAAACUAAAGAAAUGAGGAAUAGAAAACACAACAUCAAGCUCAUAAAAAAAACAAAGAAAUCAAAGGAUUGAAAAUUAAUUCUCUACAUACAUGCGGUUAACAAAUAACACUCAAACAUAAAAGAGAAGAAUCAAGAACAAUGCGAAAUGGAAGAGAAUAGGGGAUACGGAGGAAACUUACCUGAAGAGUAUUUCCAAAUAAACUUCUCUUUUCCUCGGGACACUUGAAAAUUCUACCCUUACGCUUAUAAAAAGUAGUGAUAAGAGUAGAGAUCAAAUGUAAAAACGAGAAUAAGAAAAUUAACUCUCAAGACACAACAUCAUUGAAAUCAAAUUAAAUUAUAUUGAUACGAAACUAAAAAAAUGAGGAAUAGACAACACAACAUCGAGAUAAAAAACAAACAAAGAAAUUAACGGAUAUAAAAUUAAUUUUCCAAUACACACAUACAGUAGACAUAUAACACGAAAACAUAAAAGAUAAAUAUGAAUAACAAUGCAAAAUUUAAGAGAAUAUGAAAUAUGGAGGAAACUUAUCGAAGAACUAAUUCCCAAUAAACUUCUCUUGACCUCAGAAAACCUAAAAAUUCUACCCUUAUACUUAAAGCAAGGUAGAGAAAGGAGAAGAGAUCAAAUGUUAAAACCACAAUGUCCUUGAGAGUAAAUAAAAUUAUUCGGAUACGAAACUAAAGAAAUGAGUAAUAGAAAACACAACAUCAAGCUUUUAAAAAAAAACAAAGAAAUCAAAGGAUUGAAAAUUAAUUCUCUACUACAUACAUGCAGUCAACAAAUAAUACUCAAACAUAAAAGAGAAUAAUAAAGAACAAUGCAAAAUCGAAGAGAAUAGGGGAUACAGAGGAAACUUACCUGACAAGUAUUUCCAAAUAAACUUCUCUUUUCCUCGGGACACUUGAAAAUUCUACCUUUACGCUUAUAGAAAGUAUCAAAAGGAGUAGAGAUCAAAUGUUAAAACAAGAAUAAGAAAUUAACUCUCAAGGCACAAUAUCUUGAAAGGAAAUUAAAUUAUGCUGAUACGAAACUAAAGAAAUGAGGAAUAGACAACGCAACAUAAAGAUAAAAGACAAAAAAAGAAAUUAACGGUUUCAAAAUUAAUUUUCUAGUACACACAUACAGUUGACAUAUAACACGAAAACAUACAAGAUAAUUAUCAAGAACAAUGCAAAAUUUGAGAGAAUAGGGAAUACGGGGGAAACUUAUACAAGAACUAAUUCCCAAAAAGCUUCUCUUCACCACGGGAAACCUGAAAAUUCUACUGUUACGCUUAAAGGAAGGCCGAGAAAGGAGUAGAGAUCAAAUGUUAAAACCACAAUUUUCUUAAGAGUAAAUAAAAUUAUUUUGAUAAGAAACUUAAGAAAUGAGUAAUAGAAAACUCAACAUAGAGCUCUAAAAAAAAACAAUGAAAUCAAAGGAUUGAUAAUUCAUUCUCUACUACAUACAUGCAAUCAACAAAUAAUACUCAAAACACAAAAGAGAAGAAUGAAGAACAAUACGUAAUGAAGGAGAAUAGGGGAUACGGAGGAAACUUACCUGACAAGUAUUUCACAAUAAACUUCUCUUUUCUUUGGGAAACCUAAAAAUUCUACCCUUACGCUUAUAUAAGGUAGCGAAAGGAGUAGAGAUCAAAUGUAAAAACGAGAAUAAGAAAAUUAACUCUUAAGGCUCGUUGAAAGAAAAUCAAAUUAUGCAGAUACGAAACUAAAGAAAUGAGGAAUAGACAACGCAAGAUAAAGAUAAAAAACAAACGAAGAAAUUAACAGAAUCAAAAUUAAUUUUCUAGCACACACAUACAGUAGACAUAUACACGAAAACAUACAAGAUAAAUAUGAAGAACAUUACAAAAUUUGAGAGAAUAGGGAAUACGGAGGAAACUUAUCCAAGAACUAAUUCCCAAUAAACUUAUCUUCACCACGGAAAAGCUAAAAAUUUUACUCUUACGCUUAAAAUAAGGUAGAGAAAAGAGUAGAAAUCAAAUGUUAAAACCACCUUGUCCUUGAAAGUAAAUAAAAUUAUUUUGAUAAGAAACUAAAGAAAUGAGUAAUAAAAACCACAACAUAGAGCUCUAAAAAAAACAAUGGAAUCAAAGGAUUGAAAAUUCAUUCUCUACUACAUAUACACAGUUAACAAAUAACAAUCAAACAUAAAAGAGAAGAAUGAAGAACAAUGCAAAAUAGAGGAGAAUAGGGGAUACGGAAAAAACUUACCUGACAAGUAUUUCCAAACAAACUUCUCUUUUCCUCGGGAAACCUAAAAAUUCUAACCUUACGCUUAUAGAAGGUAGCGAAAGGAGUAGAUAACAAAUGUAAAAACGAGAAUAAGAAAAUUAACUCUUAUGGCACAAUACCGGUUAAAGGAAAUCAAAUUAUGCAGAUAUGAAACUAAAGAAAUGAGGAAUACACAACGCAAGAUCAAGAUAAAAAACAAACAAAGAAGUAAACGGAUUCAUAAAUUAAUUUUCUAGUACACACAUACAGUAGACAUAUAACACGAAAACAUAAAAGAUAAAUAUGAAAAACAGUACAAAAUUUGAGAGAAUAGGGAAUAGGGAGGAAACUUAUCGAAGAAUUAAUUUUCAAUAAACUUCUCUUGACCACGCGAAACCUGAAAAUUCUAUCCUUAUGCUUAAAGCAAAGUAGAGAAAGGAAAAGAUAUCAAAUGUUAAAACCACAGUGUCAUUGAAAGUAAAUAAAAUUAUUCGGAUACGAAACUAAAUAAAUGACCAAUAGAGAACACAACAUCAAGCUUUUAAAAACAAACAAAGAAAUUAAAGGAUUGAAAAUUAAUUCUCUACUACAUACAUGCAAUCAACAAAUAACACUCAAACAUAAAAGAAAAGAAUGAAGAACAAUGCAAAAUGGAGGAGAAUUGGGGAUACGGAGGAAACUUACCUGAUAAGUAUUUCCAAAUAAACUUCUCUUUUCCUUCACAAACCUGAAAAUUCUACCCUUACGCUUAAAGCAAGGUAGAGAAAAGAGUAGAGAAUAAAUGUUAAAACAUCAAUGUCCUUGAGAGUAAAUAAAAUUAAUUUGAUACGAAACUAAAGAAAUGAAUUAGAAAAUACAACAUAGAGCUCUAAAAAAAACAAUGAAAUCAAAGGAUUGAAAAUUCAUUCUCUACUACAUACAUGCAGUCAACAAAUAACACUCAAAACAUAAAAGAAAAGAAUGAAGAACAAUGCAAAAUGGAGGAGAAUUGGGGAUACGGAGGAAACUUACCUGAUAAGUAUUUCCAAAUAAAAUUCUCUUUUCCUUCGCAAACCUAAAAAUUCUACCCUUACGCUUAUAGAAUGUAGCGAAAGUAGUAAAGAUUAAAUGUAAAAACGAGCAUAAGAAAAUUAACUCUUAAGGCACAAUAUCGUUGAAAUGAAAUCAAAUUAUGUUGAUACGAAACUAAAGAAAUGGGGAAUAGCUAACGCAACAUCAAGAUAAAAACAAACAAACAAAUUAACGAAUUCAAAAUUAGUUUUCUAGUACACACAUACAGUAGACAUAUAACAGGAAUUUCGUGCACCACGCGUGCCACCGUUCGUGCACCAUGGCGUACCACCUUCUGUGCACCGCGGCGUGCCACCAUCCGUGCACCGCAGCGUGCCACCAUCCGUGCACCACAGCGUGCCACCGUUCGUGCACCGCACACGCAAGGACUCAUGCCACCACGCGUCCAAGGACGCGUGCCAUCGCGCAUGCUAAGACACCUUCCACCGUGCAUGCGGUGUUCAUGCAUCGCACGUGCCACAGUCUAUGCACUACACACGCAAGGACUCAUGCCACCCCGCAUGCAAAGACCAGUGCCACCAUACGUGGAAAGACACGUGCCACCGUCCGUGCACCGCACAUGCAAGGCGCAAGGACGAGUGCCAUCGCGCGUGUAAGGACGAGUGCCACCACGCGUGUAAGGACGAGUGCCGCACAUGCCACCAUUCGUGCACGCGUGCCACCGUCCAUGCACCGCAUACACAAGGCACAAGGACGCAUGCCACCGUGCAUGCAAAGACGAGUGCCAGCACGCGUGCAAGAACGUGUGCCAUCGCGUGCAUGCAAAGACGCGUGCACAGUUUCGUGCACCACGCGUGCCACCAUCCAUGCACCUGUGCAUGCCACCAUUCGUGCAUCACGCAGGCCAUCGUUCGUGCAUCGCGCAGGCCACACCGUCCAUGCGGUACAAGGCGCAAGGACACAUGUCACUGCGCAUGCAAGGACAAGUGCCACCACGCUUGGAAGGACAAGUGCCACCGCACAUGUCACCGUUCGUGCACCACGCAUGUCACUGUCCAUGCACCGUACACACAAGACGCAAGGACGCAUGCCAUUGUGCAUGCAAAAACGAGUGCCACCACAAGGGCACAUGCCACUGCGAGUGCAAGGACAAUUGCCAUCGUGGGUGCAAGGACAAUUGCCACCGUGGGUGCAAGGACGCGUGCCACCGUGCAUGCAAGGACGAGUGUCACCGCACAUGCAAGGACGUGUCACCGCACAUGCAAGGAUGAGUGCCACCGCGCAUGCAAGGACGAGUGCCACUGCGCAAGCAAGGACGAGUGACAGCGUGCAUUUAGACGAGUGCCACCAUGCAUGCCACCAUUUGUGCACCGCGCAUGCCAUCAUCCAGAUGGCACACGCAAGGCGCAAGGGCGCAAGGACGCAUGUCAUCGCGCAUGCAAAAACACCACACGUGCUACGCGUGUCACCGUCUAUGCACCGCCCGAGCUACCAUUUGUGUACCGUCCGUGCACCGUGCGUGCCAUAGUCUAUGCACCACGCAUGCCAUCAUCUGCCACUGUCCGAGGAACCGCGUGUGCCACCAUCCGUGCAUCGCACAUGCAAGGCACAAGGACGCAUGCCACUACGAGUUCAAGGAUGCGUGCCACCGCGCAUGCCACUGGACAUGCACCGUUCGUGCCAUGCCACCGCUACACACGCAAGGCGCAAGGACACAUGCCACGACAAAUGCAAAGACUAGUGUCACCACACGUGCAAGAACGCGUACAAGGACGCUUGCACACGUCCGUGCACCACGCGUGCCACCGUCCCUGCGGUGCAAGGCGCAAGAACGCAUGCCACGAACGGUGUCACCACGCGUGCAAGGAUGAGUGCCACCGCGCGUGCCAUCGUCCAUGCACGGCGCGUGCCACCAUCCGUGCACCGCGCGUGCCACCGUCCGUGCACCGCAAAUGCAAGGCACAAGGACGCAUGCCACUGCGAGUGCAAAGACGCAUGCCACUACGCGUGCAAGGACGAGUGCUACCACACGUGCAAGAACGUGUGCCACUGCGCGUGCAAGGACGCGUGCCACCACGCGUGCAAGAACGCGUGCCACCACGCGUGCAAGAACGCAUGCCACCACGCGUGCAAGAACGCGUGCCACCGUUCGUGCACCGCAAAUGCAAGGCGCAAGGACGCAUGCCACUACGAGUGCAAGGACGUGUGCCACUGCGCGUGCAAGGAUGCAUGCCACCACGCAUGCAAGGACGAGUGUCACCAUGCGUGCAAGAACGCGUGCCACCGUCCGUGCACCGCGCGUACCACCGUCUGUGCACUGCAAAUGCAAGGCGCAAGGACGCAUGCCACUACAAGUGCAAGGACGCAUGCCACUACGAGUGCAAGGACGCAUGCCACUACGAGUGCAAGGACACAUGCAACUGCGCGUGCAAGGACGAGUGCCACUACAAGUGCAAUGUUGUGUUUUCUAUUACUCAUUUCUUUACUUUCUUAUCAAAAUAAUUUUAUUUUCUUUGAAGUACAUUGUGGUUUUACAAUUUGAUUUCUACUCCUUUCUCUACCUUGCUUUAAGAGUAAGGGUAGAAUUUUCAGGUUUCCCGUUGUCAAGAGAAGUUUAUUGGGAAUUAAUUAUUCGAUAAGUUUCCUCUAUAUUCCCUAUUCCCUCAAAUUUUGCACGGUUCUUCAUAUUUAUCUUUUAUGUUUUCGUGUUAUAUGCCUACUGUAUGUGUGUAUUAGAAAAUUAAUUUUCAAUCCGUUAAUUUGUUUGCUUGUUUUUUUAUCUUGAUGUUGCGUUGUCUAUUCCUCAUUUCCUUAGUUUCGUAUAUGCAUAAUUUGAUUUCCUUUCAACGAUAUUGUGCCUUAAGUUUUAUAUUUCUUAGUCUCGUUUUUACAUUUGAUUUCUACUCCUUUCGCUACCUUCUCUAAGCGUAAGGCCAGAAUUUUCAGGUUCCCCGAGGAAAAGAGAAGCUUAUUUGGAAAUACUUGUCAGGUAAGUUUCCUCUGUAUCCCUUACUCUCUUUCAUUUCGCAUUGUUUUUUAUUCUUCUUUUUUAUGUUUGAGUGUUAUUUGUUGACCACAUGUAUGUAGUAGAUAAUUAAUUUUCAAUCCUUUGAUUUCUUUGUUUGUUUUUAAAAGCUUGAUGUUGAGUUUUUUAUUGCUCAUAUCUUUAGUUUCAUAUCCGAAUAAUUUUAUUUACUCUCAAAGACAUUGUGGUUUUAACAUUUGAUCUCUUCUCCUUUCUCUACCUUGCUUUAAGCAUAAGGGUGGAAUUUUCAGGCUUCCCGUGGUCAAGAGAAGUUUAUUGGGAAUUAGUUAUUCGAUAAGUUUCCUCCAUAUUCCCUAUUCUCUCAAAUUUUGCAUUGUUCUUCAUAUUAAUCUUUUAUGUUUUCGUGUUAUAUGCCUACUGUAUGUGUGUAUUAGAAAAUUAAUUUUCAAUUCGUUAAUUUGUUUGCUUGUUUUUUUUAUCUUCAUUUUGCGUUGUCUAUUCCUCAUUUCCUUAGCUUCGUAUAUGCAUAAUUUGAUUUCCUUUCAACGAUAUUGUGCCUUAAGUUUUAUAUUUCUUAGUCUCGUUUUUACAUUUGAUUUCUACUUCUUUCGCUACCUUCUAUAAGCAUAAGGGUAGAAUUUUCAGGUUUACCGAGGAAAAGAGAAGCUUAUUUGGAAAUACUUGUCAGGUGAGUUUCCUCCGUAUCCCUUAUUCUUUUCAAUUUCGCAUUGUUCUUUAUUCUUCUAUUUUAUGUUUGAGUGUUAUUAUUUGUUGACCGCAUGUAUGUAGUAGAGAAUUAAUUUUCAAUCUUUUGAUUCCUUUGUUUGUUUUUAAAAACUUGAUGUUGUGUUUUCUAUUCCUCAUAUCUUUAGUUUCGUAUCCGAAUAAUUUUAUUUACUCUCAAGGAAUUUGUGGUUUUAACAUUUGAUCUCUACUCCUUUCUCUACCUUGCUUUAAACAUAAGGGUAGAAUUUUCAUAUUUCUCGUGGUAAAGAGAAGUUUAUUAGGAAUUAGUUCUUGGAUAAGUUUCCUCUGUAUUCCCUAUUCUCUCAAAUUUUGCACUGUCUACUGUAUGAGUGUACGAGAAAAUUACUUUUGAACCCGUAAAAAAAACAAAGAAAUGUUAAAGAACUAAUUCCCAAUAAACAUCUCUUCACCACGGAAAACCUGAAAAUUCUACCUUUCCGCUUAAAGCAAGGUAGAGAAAGGAGUAGAUAUCAAAUGUUAAAACCACAAUGUCCUUGAAAGUAAAUCAAAUUAUUCUAAUACGAAACUAAAGAAAUGAAGAAUACAAAACACAACAUCAAGCUUUUUAAAAAAAACAAAGAAAUCAAAGGAUUGAAAAUUAAUUCUCUACUACACACAAGCGGUCAACAAAUAACACUCAAACAUAAAAGAGAAUAAUGAAGAACAAUGCGAAAUGGAAGAGAAUAGGUGAUACGGAGGAAACUUACCUGACAAGUAUUUCCAAAUAAGCUUCUCUUUUCCUCGGGAAACCUGAAAAUUCUACCCUUAUGCUUAUAUAAGGUAGCGAAAGGAGUAGAAAUCAAAUGUAAAAACGAGACUAAGAAAUAUAAAACUUAAGGCACAAUAUCGUUGAAAGGAAAUCAAAUUAUGCAUACACGAAACUAAGGAAAUGAGGAAUAGACAACGCAAAAUCAAGAUAAAAAAACAAACAAACAAAUUAACGAAUUGAAAAUUAAUUUUCUAAUACACACAUACAGUAGGCAUAUAACACGAAAACAUAAAAGAUAAAUAAGAAGAACAACGCAAAAUUUGAGAGAAUAGGGAAUAUGGAGAAAACUUAUCGAAGAACUAAUUCCCAAUAAACUUCUCUUGACAAGGGGAAACCUAAAAAUUCUACCCUUACGCUUAAAGCAAGGUAGAGAAAGGAGCAGAUAUCAAAUUUUAAAACCACAAUGUACUUGAAAGUAAAUAAAAUUUUUUUGAUAAGAAACUAAAGAAAUGAGAAAUAGAAAACACAACAUAGAGCUCUAAAAAAAAACAAAUGAAAUCAAAGGAUUGAAAAUUCAUUAUCUACUAGAUACACGUAGUGACCAAAUAACACUCAAACAUAAAAGAGAAGAAUAAAGAACAAUGCAAAAUGGUGGAGAAUAGGAGAUACGAAGAAAACUUACUCGACAAGUAUUUCCAAACAAACUACUUUUUUCCUCGAGAAACCUUAAAAUUCUACUUUCACGCUUACCUGACAAGUAUGUGUGUACUACAAAAUUAAUUUUGAAUUCGUUAAUUUCUUUAUUUGUUUUUUAUCUUGNNNNNNNNNNNNNNNNNNNNNNNNNNNNNNNNNNNNNNNNNNNNNNNNNNNNNNNNNNNNNNNNNNNNNNNNNNNNNNNNNNNNNNNNNNNNNNNNNNNNNNNNNNNNNNNNNNNNNNNNNNNNNNNNNNNNNNNNNNNNNNNNNNNNNNNNNNNNNNNNNNNNNNNNNNNNNNNNNNNNNNNNNNNNNNNNNNNNNNNNNNNNNNNNNNNNNNNNNNNNNNNNNNNNNNNNNNNNNNNNNNNNNNNNNNNNNNNNNNNNNNNNNNNNNNNNNNNNNNNNNNNNNNNNNNNNNNNNNNNNNNNNNNNNNNNNNNNNNNNNNNNNNNNNNNNNNNNNNNNNNNNNNNNNNNNNNNNNNNNNNNNNNNNNNNNNNNNNNNNNNNNNNNNNNNNNNNNNNNNNNNNNNNNNNNNNNNNNNNNNNNNNNNNNNNNNNNNNNNNNNNNNNNNNNNNNNNNNNNNNNNNNNNNNNNNNNNNNNNNNNNNNNNNNNNNNNNNNNNNNNNNNNNNNNNNNNNNNNNNNNNNNNNNNNNNNNNNNNNNNNNNNNNNNNNNNNNNNNNNNNNNNNNNNNNNNNNNNNNNNNNNNNNNNNNNNNNNNNNNNNNNNNNNNNNNNNNNNNNNNNNNNNNNNNNNNNNNNNNNNNNNNNNNNNNNNNNNNNNNNNNNNNNNNNNNNNNNNNNNNNNNNNNNNNNNNNNNNNNNNNNNNNNNNNNNNNNNNNNNNNNNNNNNNNNNNNNNNNNNNNNNNNNNNNNNNNNNNNNNNNNNNNNNNNNNNNNNNNNNNNNNNNNNNNNNNNNNNNNNNNNNNNNNNNNNNNNNNNNNNNNNNNNNNNNNNNNNNNNNNNNNNNNNNNNNNNNNNNNNNNNNNNNNNNNNNNNNNNNNNNNNNNNNNNNNNNNNNNNNNNNNNNNNNNNNNNNNNNNNNNNNNNNNNNNNNNNNNNNNNNNNNNNNNNNNNNNNNNNNNNNNNNNNNNNNNNNNNNNNNNNNNNNGAGUUAUUUUUCUUGGUCUCAUUUUUACAUUUGAUCUCUACUCCUUUCACUACAUUCUAUAAGCGUAAGGGUAGAAUUUUCAGGUUUCCCGAGGAAAAGAGAAGUUUGUUUGAAAAUACUUGUCAGGUAAGUUUUCUCCGUAUCCCCUAUUCUCCUCCAUUUCGCAUUGUUCUUCAUUAUUCUCUUUUAUAUUUGAGUGUUAUUUGUUCACUGCGUGUAUCUAGUAGAUAAUGAAUUUUCAAUCCUUUUAUUUCAUUGUUUUUUUUAGAGCUCUAUGUUGUGUUUUCUAUUUCUCAUUUCUUUAGUUUCUUAUCAAAAAAAUUUUAUUUACUUUCAAGUACAUUAUGGUUUUAAAAUUUGAUCUCUACUCCUUUCUCUACCUUGCUUUAAGCGUAAGGGUAGAAUUUUUAGGUUUCCCCUUGUCAAGAGAAGUUUAUUGGGAAUUAGUUCUUCGAUAAGUUUUCUCCAUAUUCCCUAUUCUCUGAAAUUUUGCGUUGUUCUUCUUAUUUAUCUUUUAUGUUUUCGUGUUAUAUGCCUACUGUAUGUGUGUNNNNNNNNNNNNNNNNNNNNNNNNNNNNNNNNNNNNNNNNNNNNNNNNNNNNNNNNNNNNNNNNNNNNNNNNNNNNNNNNNNNNNNNNNNNNNNNNNNNNUAGUUAUUGGAUAAGUUUCCUCCGUAUUCCCUAUUCUCUCAAAUUUUGCACUGUUAGUAUGAGUGUACGAGAAAAUUACUUUUGAACCCGUUAAAAAAACAAAGAAAGGUUAAAGAACUAAUUCCUAAUAAACUUCUCUUUACCACGGAAAACCUGAAAAUUCUACCAUUCUGCUUAAAGUAAGGUAGAGAAAGGAGUAGAUAUCAAAUGUUAAAACCACAAUGUCCUUGAAAAUAAAUCAAAUUAUUCUGAUACGAAACUAAAGAAAUAAGGAAUAAGAAACACAACAUCAAACUUUUAAAAACAAACAAAGGAAUCAAAGGAUUGAAAAUUAAUUCUCUAUUACACACAAACGGUCAACAAAUAACACUCAAACAUAAAAGAGAAUAAUGAAGAACAAUGCAAAAUGGAGGAGAAUAGGGGAUACGGAGGAAACUUACCUGACAAGUAUUUCCCCAUAAACUUCUCUUUACCUCGAGAAACUUGAAAAUUCUACCCUUACGCUUAUAGAAGGUAGCGAAAGGUGUAGAGAUCAAAUGUAAAAGCGAGAAUUACAAAAUUAACUCUUAAGGCUUAAUAUGGUUGAAAGGAAAUCAAAUUCUGCCCAUACGAAACUAAAGAAAUGAGGAAUAGACAACGCAACAUCAAGAUAAAAACAAAGAAAGAAAUUAUUGGAUUCAAUAUUAAUUUUCUAGAACACACAUAUAGUAAACAUAUAACACGAAAACAUAAAAGAUAAAUAAGAAGAACAACGCAAAAUUUGAGAGAAUAGGGAAUAUGGAGAAAACUUAUCGAAGAACUAAUUCCCAAUAAACUUCUCUUGACAAGGGGAAACCUAAAAAUUCUACCCUUACGCUUAAAGCAAUGUAGAGAAAGGAGUAGAGAUCAAAUUUUAAAACCACAAUGUACUUGAAAGUAAAUAAAAUUUUUUUGAUAAGAAACUAAAGAAAUGAAAAAUAGAAAACACAACAUAGAGCUCUAAAAAAAACAAUGAAAUCAAAGGAUUGAAAAUUCAUUAUCUACUAGAUACACGCAGUGAACAAAUAACACUCAAAUAUAAAAGAGAAGAAUAAAGAACAAUGCGAAAUGGAGGAGAAUAGGGGAUACGGAGAAAACUUACCUGACAAGUAUUUUCAAACAAACUUCUCCUUUCCUCGGGAAACCUGAAAAUUCUACUUUCACGCUUACCUAACAAGUAUGUGUACUAGAAAAUUAAUUUUGAAUUCGUUAAUUUCUUUAUUUGUUUUUUAUCUUGAUCUUGCGUUGUCUAUUCCUCAUUUCUUUAGUUUUGUACCUGCAUAAUUUGAUUUUCUUUCAAUGAUAUUGUUCCUUAAGAGUUAAUUUUGUUAUUCUCAUUUUUACGUUUGAUUAAGCGUAAGGGUAAAAUUUUCAAGUUUCCCGAGGAAAAGUGAGGUUUGUUUGAAAAUACUUGUCAGGUAAGUUUUCUCCGUAUCCCCUAUUCUCCUCCAUUUCGCAUUGUUCUUCAUUCUUCUCUUUUAUAUUUGAGUGUUAUUUGUUCACUGCGUGUAUCUAGUAGAUAAUGAAUUUUCAAUCCUUUGAUGUCAUUGUCUUUUUUAGAACUCUAUGUUGUGUUUUCUAUUUUUCAUUUCUUUAGUUUCUUAUCAAAAAAAUUUUAUUUACUUUCAAGUACAUUGUGGUUUUAAAAUUUGAUCUCUACUCCUUUCUCUACCUUGCUUUUAGCGUAAGGGUAGAAUUUUUAGGUUUCCUCUAGUUCAGAGAAGGUUAUUAGGAAUUAGUUCUUCCAUAAGUUUUCUCCAUGUUCCCUAUUCUAUCAAAUUUUGCAUUGUUAUUCUUAUUUAUUUUUUAUGUUUUCGUGUUAUAUGUUUACUAUAUGUGUGUUCUAGAAAAUUAAUAUUGAAUCAAAUAAUUUCUUUCUUUGUUUUUAUCUUGAUGUUGCGUUGUCUAUUCCUCAUUUCUUUAGUUUCGUAUGGGCAGAAUUUGAUUUCCUUUACAACAUAUUAAGCCUUAAGAGUUAAUUUUCUAAUUCUCGUUUUUACAUUUGAUCUCUACACUUUUCGCUACCUUCUAUAAGCGUAAGGGUAGAAUUUUCAAGUUUCUCGAGGUAAAGAGAAGUUUAUGGGGAAAUACUUGUCAGGUAAGUUUCCUCCGUAUCCCCUAUUCUCCUCCAUUUUGCAUUGUUCUUUAUUAUUCCCUUUUAUGUUUGAGUGUUAUUUGUUGACCGCUUGUGUGUAGUAAAGAAUUAAUUUUCAAUCCUUUGAUUCCUUUGUUUGUUUUUAAAAGCUUGAUGUUGUGUUUUUUAUUCCUUAUUUCUUUAGUUUCGUAUCAGAAUAAUUUGAUUUAUUUUCAAGGACAUUGUGGUUUUAACAUUUGAUAUCUACUCCUUUCUCUAUCUUGCUUUAAGAAGAAUGGUAGAAUUUUCAGGUUUUCCGUGGUAAAGAGAAGUUUAUUGGGAAUUANNNNNNNNNNNNNNNNNNNNNNNNNNNNNNNNNNNNNNNNNNNNNNNNNNNNNNNNNNNNNNNNNNNNNNNNNNNNNNNNNNNNNNNNNNNNNNNNNNNNAACAGUGCAAAAUUUGAGAGAAUAGGGAAUACGGAGGAAACUUAUUCAAGAACUAAUUCCCAAUAAACUUCUCUUUACCACGAGAAACCUGAAAAUUCUACCCUUAUGCUUAAUGCAAGGUAGAGAAAGGAGUAGAGAUAAAAUGUUAAAACCACAAUAUCCUUAAGAGUAAAUAAAAUUAUUCGGAUACGAAACUAAAGAUAUGAGCAAUAGAAAACACAACAUUAAACUUUUAAAAACAAACAAAGGAAUCAAAGGAUUGAAAAUUAAUUCUAUACUACACACAAGCGGUCAACAAAUAACACUCAAACAUAAAAGAGAAUAAUGAAGAAGAAUGCAAAAUGGAGGAGAAUAUGGGAUACGGAGGAAACUUACUUGACAAGUAUUUCCUCAUAAACUUCUCUUUACCUCGAGAAACUUGAAAAUUCUACCCUUACGCUUAUAGAAGGUAGCGAAAGGUAUAGAGAUCAAAUGUAAAAACGAGAAUUACAAAAUUAACUCUUAAGGCUUAAUAUGGUUGAAAAGGAAAUCAAAUUUUGCCGAUACGAAACUAAAGAAAUGAGGAAUAGACAACGCAACAUCAAGAUAAAAACAAAGAAAGAAAUUAUUGGAUUGAAUAUUAAUUUUCUAGAACACACAUAUAGUAAACAUAUAACACGAAAACAUAAAAGAUAAAUAAGAAGAACAACGCAAAAUUUGAGAGGAUAGGGAAUAUGGAGAAAACUUAUCGAAGAACUAAUUCCCAAUAAACUUCUCUUGACAAGGGGAAACCUAAAAAUUCUACCAUUACGCUUAAAGUAAGGUAGAGAAAGGAGUACAGAUCAAAUUUUAAAACCACAAUGUACUUGAAAGUAAAUAAAAUUUUUUUGAUAAGAAACUAAAGAAAUGAAAAAUAGAAAACACAACAUAGAGCUCUAAAAAAACAAUGAAACCAAAGGAUUGAAAAUUCAUUAUCUACUAGAUACACGCAGUGAACAAAUAACACUCAAAUAUAAAAGAGAAGAAUAAAGAACAAUGCGAAAUGGAGGAGAAUAGGGGAUACGGAGAAAACUUACCUGACAAGUAUUUUCAAACAAACUUCUCUUUUCCUCGGGAAACCUGAAAAUUUUACUUUCACGCUUACCUGACAAGUAUGUGUGUACUAGAAAAUUAAUUUUGAAUUCGUUAAUUUCUUUAUUUGUUUUUUAUCUUGAUCUUGCGCUUGUCUCUUCCUCAUUUCUUUAGUUUUGUACCUGCAUAAUUUGAUUUCCUUUUAACGAUAUUGUGCCUUAAGAGUUAAUUUUCUUGUUCUCAUUUUUACAUUUGAUCUCUACUCCUUUUGCUCCAUUCAAUAAGCGUAAGGGUAGAAUUUUCAGGUUUCCCGAGGAAAAGAGAAGUUUGUUUGAAAAUACUUGUCAGGUAAGUUUUCUCUAUAUCCCCUAUUCUCCUCCAUUUCGCAUUGUUCUUCAUUCUUCUCUUUUAUAUUUGAGUGUUAUUUGUUCACUGCGUAUAUCUAGUAGAUAAUGAAUUUUCAAUCCUUUUAUUUCAUUGCUUUUUUUAGAGCUCUAUGUUUUGUUUUCUAUUUCUCAUUUCUUUAGUUUCUUAUCAAAAAAAUUUUAUUUACUUUCAAGUACAUUGUGGUUUUAAAAUUUGAUCUCUACUCCUUUCUCUACCUUGCUUUGAGCGUAAGGGUAGAAUUUUUAGAUUUCCCCUUGUCAAGAGAAGUUUAUUGGGAAUUAGUUCUUCGAUAAGUUUUCUCCAUAUUCUCUAUUCUCUCAAAUUUUGCGUUGUUCUUCUUAUUUAUCUGUUAUGUUUUCGUGUUAUAUGUUUACUAUAUGUGUGUUCUAGAAAAUUAAUAUUCAAUCCAAUAAUUUCUUUCUUUGUUUUUUAUCUUGAUGUUGCCUUGUCUAUUCCUCAUUUCUUUUGUUUCGUAUCGGCAGAAUUUGAUUUCCUUUCAACCAUAUUAAGCCUUAAGAGUUAAUUUUCUAAUUUUCGUUUUUACAUUUGAUCUCUACACCUUUCGCUACCUUCUAUAAGCGUAAGGGUAGAAUUUUCAAGUUUCUCGAGGUAAAGAGAAGUUUAUGAGGAAAUACUUGUCCAGUAAGUUUCCUCCGUAUCCCCUAUUCUCCUCCAUUUUGCAUUGUUCUUCAUUAUUCUCUUUUAUGUUUGAGUGUUAUUUGUUGACCGUUUGUGUGUAAUAGAGAAUUAAUUUUCAAUCCUUUGAUUCCUUUGUUUGUUUUUAAAAGUUUGAUGUUGUUUUUUCUAUUGCUCAUAUCUUUAGUUUCGUAUCCGAAUAAUUUUAUUUACUCUCAAGGACAUUGUGGUUUUAACAUUUGAUCUCUACUCCUUUCUCUACCUUGCAUUAAGCAUAAGGGUAGAAUUUUCAGGUUUCUCGUGGUAAAGAGAAGUUUAUUGGGAAUUAGUUCUUGAAUAAGUUUCCUCCGUAUUUCCUAUUCUCUCAAAUUUUGCACUGUCUACUGUAUGAGUGUACGAAAAAAUUACUUUUGAACCCGUUAAAAAAACAAAAAAUGGUAAACGAACUAAUUCCCAAUAAACUUCUCUUUACCUACAAAAACUUAAAAACUCAAACCCUCUUCUUAACGCUCGGUAUAGAUAGGAGUAUAGAUCAAAUGUAAAAACAAAAAUUUCCUUGAAAGUAAAAAUUAUUAUUCGGAUACUAAUCNAAAGAUAUGAGCAAUAGAAAAAACUACAUCAACUUUUAAUAAACAACAAAGGAAUCAAAGGAUUGAAAAUUAAUUCUCAAUUACACACAAACGGUCAACAAAUAACACUCAAACAUAAAAGAGAAUAAUUAAUAACAAUGCAAAAUGGAGGAGAAUAUGGGAUACGGAGGAAACUUACCUGACAAGUAUUUCCCCAUAAACUUCUCUUUACCUCGAGAAACUUGAAAAUUCUACCCUUACGCUUAUAGAAGGUAGCGAAAGGUGUAGAGAUCAAAUGUAAAAACGAGAAUUAGAAAAUUAACUCUUAAGGCUUAAUAUGGUUGAAAGGAAAUCAAAUUCUGCCGGUACGAAACUAAAGAAAUGAGGAAUAGACAACGCAACAUCAAGAUAAAAAACAAAGAAAGAAAUUAUUGGAUUCAAUAUUAAUUUUCUAGAACACACAUAUAGUAAACAUAUAAUACGAAAACAUAAAAGAUAAAUAAGAAGAAUAACGCAAAAUUUGAGAGAAUAGGAAAUAUGGAGAAAACUUAUCGAAGAACUAAUUCCCAAUAAACUUCUCUUGACAAGGGGAAACCUAAAAAUUCUACCAUUACGCUUAAAGUAAGGUAGAGAAAGGAGUAGAGAUCAAAUUUUAAAACCACAAUGUACUUGAAAGUAAAUAAAAUUUUUUUGAUAAGAAACUAAAGAAAUGAAAAAUAGAAAACACAACAUAGAGCUCUAAAAAAAACAAUGAAACCAAAGGAUUGAAAAUUCAUUAUCUACUAGAUACACGCAGUGAACAAAUAACACUCAAACAUAAAAGAGAAGAAUAAAGAACAAUGCAAAAUGGUGGAGAAUAGGAGAUACGAAGAAAACUUACUCGACAAGUAUUUCCAAACAAACUACUCUUUUCCUCGAGAAACCUUAAAAUUCUACUUUCACGCUUACCUGACAAGUAUGUGUGUACUAGAAAAUUAAUUUUGAAUUCGUUAAUUUCUUUAUUUGUUUUUUAUCUUGAUCUUGCGUUGUCUAUUCCUCAUUUCUUUAGUUUUGUACCUGCAUAAUUUGAUUUUCUUUCAACGAUAUUGUGCCUUAAGAGUUAAUUUUCUUGUUCUCAUUUUUACAUUUGAUCUCUACUCCNNNNNNNNNNNNNNNNNNNNNNNNNNNNNNNNNNNNNNNNNNNNNNNNNNNNNNNNNNNNNNNNNNNNNNNNNNNNNNNNNNNNNNNNNNNNNNNNNNNNAGUUCUUGGAUAAGUUUCCUCCGUAUUCCCUAUUCUCUCAAAUUUUGCACUGUCUACUGUAUGAGUGUACGAGAAAAUUACUUUUGAACCCGUUAAAAAAACAAAGAAAGGUUAACGAACUAAUUCCCAAUAAACUUCUCUUUACCACGAAAAACCUAAAAAUUCUACCAUUCUUUUUAAAGCAAGGUAGAGAAAGGAGUAGAUAUCAAAUGUUAAAACCACAAUGUCCUUGAAAGUAAAUCAAAUUAUUCUGAUACGAAACUAAAGAAAUGAGGAAUAAAAAACACAACAUCAAGCUUUAAAAAAAAAACAAAGAAAUCAAAGAAAUCAAAGGAUUGAAAAUUAAUUCUCUACUACACACAAGCGGUCAACAAAUAACACUCAAACAUAAAAGAGAAUAAUGAAGAACAAUGCAAAAUGGAGGAGAAUAGGGGAUACGGAGGAAACUUACCUGACAAGUAUUUCCCCAUAAACUUCUCUUUACCUUGAGAAACUUGAAAAUUCUACCCUUACGCUUAUAGAAGGUAGCGAAAGGUGUAGAGAUCAAAUGUAAAAACGAGAAUUAGAAAAUUAACUCUUAAGGCUUAAUAUGGUUGAAAGCAAAUCAAAUUUUGCCGAUACGAAACUAAAGAAAUGAGGAAUAGACAACGCAACAUCAAAAUAAAAAACAAAGAAAGAAAUUAUUGGAUUCAAUAUUAAUUUUCUAGAACACACAUAUAAUAAACAUAUAACACGAAAACAUAAAAGAGAAAUAAGAAGAACAACGCAAAAUUUGAGAGAAUAGGGAAUAUGGAGAAAACUUAUCUAAGAACUAAUUCCCAAUAAACUUCUCUUGACAAGGGGAAACUUAAAAAUUCUAUCCUUACGCUUAAAGCAAGGUAGAGAAAGGAAUAGAGAUCAAAUUUUAAAACCACAAUGUACUUGAAAGUAAAUAAAAUUUUUUUGAUAAGAAACUAAAGAAAUGAGAAAUAGAAAACACAACAUAGAGCUCCAAAAAAAACAAUGAAAUCAAAGGAUUGAAAAUUCAUUAUCUACUAGAUACACGCAGUGACCAAAUAACACUCAAAUAUAAAAGAGAAGAAUAAAGAACAAUGCAAAAUGGUGGAGAAUAGGAGAUACGAAGAAAACUUACUCGACAAAUAUUUCCAAACAAACUACUCUUUUCCUCGAGAAACCUUAAAAUUCUACUUUCACGCUUACCUGACAAGUAUGUGUGUACUAGAAAAUUAAUUUUGAAUUCGUUAAUUUCUUUAUUUGUUUUUUAUCUUGAUCUUGCGUUGUCUAUUCCUCAUUUCUUUAGUUUUGUACCUGCAUAAUUUGAUUUUCUUUCAACGAUAUUGUGCCUUAAGAGUUAAUUUUCUUGUUCUCAUUUUUACAUUUGAUCUCUACUCUUUUCGCUACAUUCUAUAAGCGUAAGGGUAGAAUUUUCAGGUUUCCCGAGUAAAAGAGAAGUUUGUUUGAAAAUACUUGUCAGGUAAGUUUUCUUCGUAUCCCCUAUUCUCCUCCAUUUCGCAUUGUUCUUCAUUCUUCUCUUUUAUAUUUGAGUGUUAUUUGUUCACUGCGUGUAUCUAGUAGAUAAUGAAUUUUCAAUCCUUUGAUUUCAUUGUUUUUUUUUAGAGCUCUAUGUUGUGUUUUCUAUUUCUCAUUUCUUUAGUUUGUUAUCAAAAAAUUUUUAUUUACUUUCAAGUACAUUGUGGUUUUAAAAUUUGAUCUCUACUCCUUUCUCUACCUUGCUUUAAGCGUAAGGGUAGAAUUUUUAGGUUUCCCCUUGUCAAAAGAAGUUUAUUGGGAAUUAGUUCUUCGAUAGGUUUUCUCCAUAUUCCCUAUUCUCUCAAAUUCUGCGUUGUUCUUCUUAUUUAUCUUUUAUGUUUUCGUGUUAUAUGUUUACUAUAUAUGUGUGUUCUAGAAAAUUAAUAUUGAAUCCAAUAAUUUCUUUCUUUGUUUUUUAUCUUGAUGUUGCGUUGUCUAUUCCUCAUUUCUUUAGUUUCGUACCGGCAGAAUUUGAUUUCCUUUCAACCAUAUUAAGCCUUAAGAGUUAAUUUUCUAAUUCUCGUUUUUACAUUUGAUCUCUACACCUUUCGCUACCUUCUAUAAGCGUAAGGGUAGAAUUUUCAAGUUUCUCGAGGUAAAGAGAAGUUUAUGGGGAAAUACUUGUCAGGUAAGUUUCCUCCGUAUCCCCUAUUCUCCUCCAUUUUGCAUUGUUCUUUAUUAUUCCCUUUUAUGUUUGAGUGUUAUUUGUUGACCGCUUGUGUGUAGUAGAGAAUUAAUUUUCAAUCCUUUGAUUUCUUUGUUUUUUUUUAAAAGCUUGAUGUGAUGUUUUUUAUUCCUCAUUU
rnacentral:lncRNA from 1 species